CCUACGGGGGGCAGCAGUGGGGAAUAUUGGGCAAUGGGCGCAAGCCUGACCCAGCAACGCCGCGUGAAGGAAGAAGGCUUUCGGGUUGUAAACUUCUUUUCUCAGGGACGAAGAAAGUGACGGUACCUGAGGAAUAAGCCACGGCUAACUACGUGCCAGCAGCCGCGGUAAUACGUAGGUGGCAAGCGUUAUCCGGAUUUACUGGGUGUAAAGGGCGUGUAGGCGGGAAAGCAAGUCAGAUGUGAAAACCAUGGGCUAAACCUGUGGCCUGCAUUUGAAACUGUUUGUCUUGAGUACUGGAGAGGCAGACGGAAUGCCUGGUGUAGCGGUGAAAGGCGUAGAUAUUAGGAGGAACACCAGGGGCGAAGGCGGUCUGCUGGACAGAAACUGACGCUGAGGCGCGAAAGCGUGGGGAGCAAACAGGAGUAGAUACCCGGGUAGUC
rnacentral:rRNA from 1 species